GGGUCAAUAGCUCAGUUGGUUAGAGCAGGAUGCUCAUAACGUCUUGGUCCAGGGUUCAAGUCCUUGUUGACCCACCA
rnacentral:tRNA from 1 species